rnacentral:rRNA from 1 species
CCUACGGGUGGCAGCAGUGAGGAAUAUUGGUCAAUGGGCGCGAGCCUGAACCAGCCAAGUCGCGUGAGGGAAGACGGCCCUACGGGUUGUAAACCUCUUUUGCCGGGGAGCAACGGGCGCCACGUGUGGCGCCACUGAGAGUACCCGGAGAAAAAGCAUCGGCUAACUCCGUGCCAGCAGCCGCGGUAAUACGGAGGGGGCGAGCGUUGUCCGGAAUUACUGGGCGUAAAGAGAGCGUAGGCGGCACUACAAGUCUCAUGUGAAAUACCCGGGCUUAACUUGGGGGUUGCAUGGGAAACUGUAGAGCUUGAGUACAGGAGAGGCAAGCGGAAUUCCUAGUGUAGCGGUGAAAUGCAUAGAUAUUAGGAGGAACACCAGUGGCGAAGGCGGCUUGCUGGACUGAAACUGACGCUGAGGCUCGAAAGCGUGGGGAGUAAACAGGAUUAGAUACCCUAGUAGUC